GAUGAACGCUAGCGGUAGGCUUAACACAUGCAAGUCGAGGGGUAACGUGUUGGUAGCUUGCUUCCGAUGACGACGACCGGCGGAUGGGUGCGUAACGCGUAUGCAACUUGCCUCACAGAGGAGAAUAACCCGGCGAAAUCCGGGCUAAUACUCCAUACACUCUUAAGUAGGCCUGUACAUGAGAGGGAAGAUUUAUCACUGUGAGUUAGGCAUGCGUCCUUUUGGGUAGUUGGUGGGGCAAGGGCCCACCAAGGCGACGGUCCGUAGGUGGGCUGAGAGGAUGAUCAGUCCCACUGGAACUGAGACACGGUCCAGACUCCUACGGGAGGCAGGAGGGAGGAAGAUAGGACAGUGGGCGAAAGCCUGAUCCAGCCAGGCCGCGUGUGUGAAGAAGGUCUUCGGAUUGUAAAGCACUUUAAGUUGGGAGGAAGGGAAGGAAGUUAAUAUCUUGCUGGUUUGACGGUACCAACAGAAUAAGCACCGGCUAACUUCGUG
rnacentral:rRNA from 1 species